UACGAAGGGGGCUAGCGUUGUUCGGAUUUACUGGGCGUAAAGCGCACGUAGGCGGAUUGUUAAGUCAGAGGUGAAAUCCCGGAGCUCAACUCCGGAACUGCCUUUGAUACUGGCAAUCUAGAGUCCGGAAGAGGUGAGUGGAACUCCUAGUGUAGAGGUGGAAUUCGUAGAUAUUAGGAAGAACACCAGUGGCGAAGGCGGCUCACUGGUCCGGUACUGGACGCUGAGGUGCGAAAGCGUGGGGAGCAAA
rnacentral:rRNA from 1 species